AGGAUCAUGUGAACAACAUCGAUUCCUUAUCAUUAGUUACAUCAUUUAUAAAGUUCAAAAUACUUACACUUUCAUUGUUUGAAAUGGAACGUAUUAUACAAAUACAACAUUACUAGUUUGACUUCCCCAACACCAACAUACAACCAACGCUAUGUCUACGGAGCCUCUAAUAGAUACAAAAGAGCACGAUGAUAGUGCCGGCAACAAGGCCCCGGCUAUACCUCAAAACAUAAUACACAAGGAACAAAAGAUAUACGACCCCGAUAUGAAGUGGGGCUCACCAAGUCAGCUGGGAAGAGGGUGUGCCACUAUCAAUGAUCAAAGCAGCCUGCUGUGGAACCACCUGCAUCCAUUAAAAAUGCAGCGCCCCCGAAAAAAAAGGGAUGUUAGUUCAUAUGCAAUAGUACUAGUAUGAAUGGCUAAACACCCUCUCAAUAGAAUAAAUGAUAACACAGGGAAGGACAAUCAUAAAAUCGAUGGGAGCCUCAAACAAUACCAAAACAUCAAGUUAGGAGCAAGAAUAUGUUUCAAGUAAAUUUUCAUAUUUUAGGUUGGGAGAUCUUAGCACCGAUAUACUACCGUGAUUUUAGCACGGAGUCUGAUCACGACCCGAUCGGCUAGGCCGUCUCACCCAAAGACAUCAACUACAAUCACAAUCAUUAUAUCAAUCUCAAUUAUUGUUUCAAACAUAAUCUCAAGCACAAUCACCACCAUGUAUGCGCCAUGUCGUCCGAUCACGACCCGACCGGCUAGGCCGUCUCACCACAACGUCGUGUGGAUUGACAUCACCCUUUUCUAGCAAUUAUCUCGUCCCAAUAAAGGGGAAUAUUUCAUCAUAUAAAUCUCAUCCCAAUAAAGGGAAAAAUUCUCAUCACAUCAAUCUUAUCCCAAUAAAGGGGUACAAUCACAAUCACUACUAGACCGACACGUGUAGUUUCGGGAGUAGGUUAUUUUAACCUACCCUUCCUCGGUGACUAACGAUACUCCCAGGGUGUUUAUUUAUUUAAAGAAUUGACAACUCAUUUCAUUAUCUUUUAUAUAUCAUUCUUUUCAUUAGCACCAGUGGCCAUAACACAAUGUCACUUUUGGCACGUUGGCCAUAUUUCAUAUUUCAUGUUCAUCUCUUUCACUUUCAAAUAUCAUCACAGAUCAUCAACAACAAAGUAUUUCUAUUCAAGUCAUUAAGUCCACGUGUGAGCAAAUAAGAAUGUCACACAAUUUGGCAUAAUAUCUUUCAUUUGAAUCACGACUUGAAGUUAUAACAUUUAGCUAUGCAACCAAUGCUUCAAGCACAUUUUCAAAUAGAACAUAACAUAACAAGAACAUUUGGAAUACAUAUUGAACAUAAAUCUUUUGACACAAGGCAUAUUCNNNNNNNNNNNNNNNNNNNCACAAAGUUUACCGAAAUGAGCUCAACAAUCUUCCCAUUAUAGUUGAUGGUACAUGAAUGCAUAAUGAACAACUCCCAUACCCAAGAAUUGCUUUUCUCAUUACCCAUUUCCAAUUAAAUCCCGCAAUUGAAGGCUAAGGAGUAGAAUAUUACCUCUAGGAUGAAGACCUAGUGAGUUUUUCUUAUGAAUUAUUCAACUUUGAGCAAGAGUGAGUUUAUGGUUCCUGCUCAUCUGAGCAUUUUAUUAAAUACCAGGUGUGCAUUAAGGUUUCAAGGUCCUCCUAUGGUGGAUCCCUUCAUCCCACUACCCAAAGUUUACCCAAAUGAGCUUAAAAAUCUUCUCACUACCAUUAAUGGUACAUGCAUGUAUAAUGAACAACUCCCACACCAAAGAAUUGCUUUUCUCAUUAACAAUUUCCAAUUAAAUCCCGGAAUUGAGGGCUAGGGAGUAGAAUAUUACGUCUAGGAUGAAGACCUAAUGAGUUUUUCUUAUGAAUUCUUCAACUUUGAGCAAGAGUUGAUGAAUAAUAACCAUAGGAAUUCCCCCUCUCACUCUAGACCACUCCCCUCUCUCUAAAUAUUAGUUAGGACCAGCCAAAAUAACCCAUAAGUUGUUUUUAUGAAAAUGGGAUCGGAUAAAAUUUUCCAAUCUUAAACUCUAUGAAGCCCGAUCUGCAGUCACAAACCGGACCGC
rnacentral:lncRNA from 1 species